UAUGUGUAUAAAAACUAUCCCCUCCGUGAGUUGCCACCUUAUCGUGGUGGAGGGGUUUGUGUGCUCACAUGAUCCUGGGAGCUGUUCUGUCCGGAGCUCUCAGCUCCUCGUAGGGUUUCCCACGACAGCUUGGUCCCAGGUGACGAGUCAGACGAAGAGCAAUUCAGACGACCGAAAGCUCAGGGAGGAGCGCUGUUGUUUAAAGGGGGCUUUCACACCUGAAAGUCCUCAUUUGAGGAGAGACCGGAUUGCUUCCAUUGUGUCCGUCUGCAGUCUGAGGGUAGCGGACACGUAACAGAAUCAACAAACUGAUCCGCAAGGCCAGUGACAUUGUGGGGUUGGAGCUGGACUCUCUGUUGUUGGUGUCAGAGAGGAGGAUGCUGUCUAAACUACAUGUCAUCUUGGAUUCUGGAGAUUUAUAAAUGUCCUCAUUCCAGUGCAUUUCUGUGUGCAUUUGUUUAUUUCCAGUUUACGUGGAAAACACCAAACUUCUGUAAAUAGUCUGAAAGUCCGGACCAUCAAAAAAUGCUUUCACAGUAGAAACAAACUGAACCACGGAUCCGGACCGAUACUACCUCUUUUCAUUGGACCAACUUUGGUCUAUUUGGUCGGGACAGUGGUCCGGGGGAGGUUUCAUUGAUUUUGGAAAUAACUAAAAAGUCUGAGAGUCCGGACCAAAUGAGAGGUAGGUGUGAAAGCCCUCUUAGUUACAGAUUUUCUUUAGUCCGUACCUUACGUGACGGUUGGCCCCUAUCACUGUUAAAACUGUUACUUGGAUCUAACUCAAUAAAAUUAAGACAACAUUUUCCAACUA